UUCAGCUGUCAGCAGAGAGGUGACCC
rnacentral:piRNA from 1 species